rnacentral:rRNA from 1 species
GAUGAACGCUAGCGGCAGGCUUAAUACAUGCAAGUCGAGGGACAGCACAGGUAGCAAUACUGGGUGGUAACCGGCAAACGGGUGCGGAACACGUACACAACCUUCCUUUAAGUGGGGGAUAGCCCAGAGAAAUUUGGAUUAAUACCCCGUAAUAUAGUUGAAUGGCAUCAUUUGAUUAUUAUAGCUACGGCGCUUAAUGAUGGGUGUGCGGCUGAUUAGAUAGUUGGCGGGGUAACGGCCCACCAAGUCUACGAUCAGUAGCUGAUGUGAGAGCAGGAUCAGCCACACGGGCACUGAGACACGGGCCCGACUCCUACGGGAGGCAGCAGUAAGGAAUAUUGGUCAAUGGACGCAAGUCUAAACCAGCCAUGCCGCGUGAAGGAUUAAGGUCCUCUGGAUUGUAAACUUCUUAUAUUUGGGACGAAAAAGGGCCUUUCUAGGUCAACUGACGGUACCAGAUGAAUAAGCACCGGCUAACUCCGUGCCAGCCGCCGCCGUAACAC